rnacentral:rRNA from 1 species
CCUACGUGGGGCAGCAGUGAGGAAUAUUGGUCAAUGGGCGCGAGCCUGAACCAGCCAAGUAGCGUGAAGGAUGACUGCCCUACGGGUUGUAAACUUCUUUUAAAAAGGAAUAAAGUGAGGCACGUGUGCCUUUUUGUAUGUACUUUAUGAAUAAGGAUCGGCUAACUCCGUGCCAGCAGCCGCGGUAAUACGGAGGAUCCGAGCGUUAUCCGGAUUUAUUGGGUUUAAAGGGAGCGUAGAUGGGUUGUUAAGUCAGUUGUGAAAGUUUGCGGCUCAACCGUAAAAUUGCAAUUGAUACUGGCAGUCUUGAGUACAGUUGAGGUAGGCGGAAUUCGUGGUGUAGCGGUGAAAUGCUUAGAUAUCACGAAGAACUCCGAUUGCGAAGGCAGCUUACUAAACUGCCACUGACAUUGAUGCUCGAAAGUGUGGGUAUCAAACAGGAUUAGAUACCCUAGUAGUC